AGAAAAAAUAUCACACAGCAGUCACACUACCGAUAUUUAAAGAUGGUGACGUCAGUAUGUUGAAAUGAUAUCUAUGCUCUCGUGUUGACCUACAAUAGCCAAGAUAUGGAGUCAAUCUAAACAUCCAUGAACUGGUGACUGGCUUUGCAUAAACCAGGCCAUUUUCACUGCCUUUCUGGACCAUGCACAACUGAGAUCACCAUGGCUUGGUAACACAUUUAUAGACCCAUUACACAUCAUCUGGAGGAAGGAAGACACAAAGGACUUUGAUAGCAUAAAGGGUUGAAAUAUGAAAAGCCAGGAGUAUGAAAGGGGAAGAAGGUGGUGUGUUCCUGUACUGUUCAUCAAAUCAGGAUAUGAGAGGAGAGCUGGGCCAUCUUGUUGUGCAGCUCCGAAGCACAGUCAGGCCUGAGACUGAGACGGCGGGGAGGAGAUUUAUGACCGGCAAAAAAAGCCCAAAAAACAAAAAACGGGGGGCAGGCAAGCUCACAAAAAGAAGAACAGGAGAGAAAGAAAGAUUGGAACAGAUCAGCAAAGUAUGCUGUUGAAGAAGCAUGUCAGUCUUAUAGAAUAAUGGGUUGGCACAACUCAGGCAGUCAUCUCUUGAACAUGCGUCAUUGCUCAUAAGAAAGUCUAAGCGAGGAAAGAGGCAAAAUUACUACAGACACAUUAACAAUAUUCAAACAACACUCUCAACCCAAAUGCCUUACAAUAUACAAUUUUUGACGACUGAUCAAUAUUGUGUCAUCUUAGAGUGAGUACAAGGCACGAAAACAGCUGGAAACUCGAAAUAACAGAUGGUUUCCAGGUACAAGACUAAUGACUGGGAGGCCAUAUUGAAAGGACUUUGAAUUUUGGCUCCAAGCAGAAAUGAGCUUCAGCAAAUGCUGUUUCUGGUUAGAGUUUUAGAUCUGCGUGUGGCAGUGACCAUCAUUCACCUGUGUGGACCUCAGAAUUUUUACUUGUUAUGCGAGGAAGGGGGAGACACAGACAAUGAACAACAUAACCGAAUUAAUUGUAUGGCACAGUAGAAGGUGCUGAGUCCUACGGUAGGGACUGAGAGGAUGUGGCAGAAAAGCAAGGUCAAGAGAUGCAAAGAAGCAGCGCAAAAGCCCGCAGAAUCCCUCCUUCUUCUGGACUUUUGGAAGGAUUUUAACUUUUGCUGCAACCACGAGAGAGCUUUAUGCAAAGAAAAGACGUGAUAGAAGUCACGUUGUAAAGAUCCCUUUGGCUACUGUUUUGAGACUACUUAAUAGAAAAUCAGAGACAGAAAUGAGACCGGAUAGGAGGCUGGGACAGUGAUCUAGGCUGGGAGGAUGUGGCUUUACCAGGGGAAGGGUGAGAAGUUCUUUCAGAUUCUGAAAGAAGUUCAGCCAGAUGGGAAUCACCUACAUCCAUCAAAUUUGUCCAUGAGGGCAAUAUCUGCCACCUACAGUUACUGAAUUUAAAUAAUUAAAAUUCAGCUACUCAUUUGAAUCAGCCCAGCUCUACUUCAAAUACUCCAUAUUCAGAAGUAAUCAUUUGGUGGCUUCUUCACUGAACACGAAGAUGCAGAACGUUUCGGUACUGGCAGAAUGUUCUCCUGAGCGACACUGAUGCAGAUAUCAUUUAAAGUGCUGUCCUCCUGCUCUCACACUGAACAGCUUCUGCGGAUGUCUC